UUCAUGCGCCCCUUUUAGGGUGAGUUUCACUUUUUCAUAACCCCGCAGCAGCGUCGAAAACAGGCGGUGGGGCCAGGAUACUGAACACGUAAGCACAUUCGCCCUUCAGCACUUCUACAGGACACUGCGCAGUUUGGAGCAGAGCGGGCUCGAAGAAAAGAAUAUGUCUGUGAUGAAAAAAGGCCUGAAAAUGACAUUGCUGCUGUGGACUUUUGUGGGAAGCCUCUUCUUCGUUCCCGCACUGAAGACAAUGGCUGAAGCGCGAGGGAUGACAACACCGGAGCCUCGCCUACCAAAAGAGCGCAAUGCUGUGGAAGGCCUUUGGAAAUCAUGCAGCAAUUUAUCACAGGCGUGCGCAAGGGACACUGACUGCUGCGAGGCGUGGAUUUGCGUAGACGACCGGUGCAAAGCUUAGGAGCCAUCGAUGGAAAAUCCGGGGUUAACCACCGGGGGCAGCUCAGAAAGUGGGGCUCCUGCUGGGCGAAAAACAAUUUGGGAUGCCUUCCCAACUCACAGGAAAAUGGCUUACACCAUAAAACACUUGCUCUUUCUUCAUGCCCGAUAGUUACGUGCUACAGCGGGUACGCCCUGAAUAAAAUAUUUUAAAGUGUC